UUGUAUAGUGAACAAAACUCUCUAUUUAAGCCCAAGCUUAAGCACCCAAAUCCCACAACUGAGUGCCCAAGCAUACAAACUUCCUUUGUGGGCUUUCCCUCCACUAAUUCAGUAAGGAUUUGUGGGCAUUAGGAUUCUAAUCAAGCAAUUUUUAGCAUAGUUUUUAAGAAGGUUUGGACUGAAUCAAAUCAGUUUUGUAUGAUAAGACUGAAUAUCUUGGCGUGCACUUGAUAUGGUACAUGACAGAGAAAAAAGAAAUCGCAGAGAGGCGUCGUGCAGUACUGAAUACUUAGUUGCCUUCUUCUGCAAGCUCUUCUUUCAUGGCUUAAAUUCCAUGAUGGAAAGGUGGAAAGGCGUAAGCAUAAUAAUAUGUGGGAUAACAGAAUCCUCCCAUGCUUUUCCACAGCUUUCUUGAACUGAGAGCUCAGACUGCACCACAGAUUUUAUUGUUUAUUACUUUUUUUUUGUUAAGGUGGUCUUUCGUCCGGGCAGAUCUGAGUUCAGAGCUCAAGAAAGCUGUGGGAAAAUAUAGAAGGAUCUCAUGAUCUUGGGACUCGAAGAGAAAUUUGCCUUUAAAGCUACGGUGAAGUUAAGUUUUCAAAAGUUAGUUGUAAAUUUUAGUCUAUUUAUGAGCCCAUCUUGAGAUUGAUAUCAUGGAUUUGGUUUUUGUAUCUAUUGAAUGCAGUAAGUACAUUGAUUGGUUUUUUGUUGAUCCAUGGCAGGAAAAAAAGAGUUGUAGAGGCGUACCAGGUGCCAUUGAAUCUUGAUGAUUGAUCUCGGGUUAGUUCAAACUAGUCUUAUUUGCUGAAGGAUCUCUCUACUGUACACCGUAUUUGUUGGAAUUAUAAACAAAAGAUUCAUUAUUGCUGUGGAACAUUUCAUUUCAUUUGAGGAGCAAGAGUGGGUAUAUUAUCUGUUUGAUACUCAAAACAACCAAUGUUUAUGUAGGACGCUUCUAUUUUGGUUUCAAAAGGAGGUUAUGAAAUUCGUGUUAGUCAUAUUAAUGUAAAAUCUCAGCCAUUGUUAGGCGCGAUCGAUGGUGCAGACUGGUCGUGUGCUGGUAGCCGUAGCACGACAGUGCCGGUUUUGGAGCCAAUUUAGCUUCUGUCAUUUAUGUAAGCCCGCAUCUAUUCUAGCUCUAAAACGACAUUGUUGUACCACGGAAUGUUAGUAACACAAACAUUACACAUCGUUGAUCGUGCAAACAACGACUGUGAUUUUUCUUAAAAGUCAAUAACACGCAUUUUAUAACCUUGUUUUGGAGUCAAAAUAGUUGCGUCUGUUUAGGUAAUAUGGGUAGUUAACGCAUGGGCUACAAAUCAUUGAUUAUUGUUAUUAGAUUUUUUUAUAAAAAAAUUAAUUGAUAUUUCAAGGGUAUGCAAGCGACCUAACCAAGUGAUUCAAGAGUCUUUAUCUUAGGCUUACUUUUUGUCGAGUUUUGGAGUGCCGAAGAGGUGAUGUAGGGAAAGACUAAUCCCUUUGAGGUGAGAGUCAUGCUCAAAAUAGUAGCCACCAAGUUAGCCAUACCAAAUGCUUGAGUUGUGGGAUCACGCCAUUUCUGAUUUUAUAAAUCAGUAUAAAUAUUUUAAUUAUAUUUAUUUGAAAGAUA